rnacentral:rRNA from 1 species
UACGUAGGGGGCAAGCGUUGUCCGGAUUUAUUGGGCGUAAAGAGCGUGUAGGCGGUUAGGUAGGUCCGUUGUGAAAACUCGAGGCUCAACCUCGAGACGCCGAUGGAAACCAUCUAACUAGAGUCCGGAAGAGGAGAGUGGAAUUCCUGGUGUAGCGGUGAAAUGCGCAGAUAUCAGGAAGAACACCAAUAGCGAAGGCAGCUCGCUGGGACGGUACUGACGCUAAGGCGCGAAAGCGUGGGGAGCGAACAGG